rnacentral:rRNA from 1 species
GACGAACGCUGGCGGCGUGCUUAACACAUGCAAGUCGAACGGAAAGGCCCUGCUUUUGUGGGGUGCUCGAGUGGCGAACGGGUGAGUAACACGUGAGUAACCUGCCCUUGUCUUUGGGAUAACUUCAGGAAACUGGUUCUAAUACCGGAUAGGAGCUCCUGCUGCAUGGUGGGGGUUGGAUAGUUUCGGCGGUUGGGGAUGGACUCGCGGCUUAUCAGCUUGUUGGUUGGGUAGUGGCUUACCAAGGCUUUGACGGGUAGCCGGCAUGAGAGGGUGACCGGCAAAAUGGGGACUGAGAUACGGCACAGAGUCCUACGGGGGGAAGAAGUGGGGAAUAUUGCAAAAUGGGCGGAAGCCUGAUGAAGCAAAGCCGCGUGCGGGAUGACGGCCGUCGGGUUGUAAACCGCUUUCGCCUGUGACGAAGCGUGAGUGACGGUAAUGGGUAAAGAAGCACCGGCUAACUACGUG